rnacentral:rRNA from 1 species
AACGAACGCUGGUGGCAUGCCUAACACAUGCAAGUCGAACGAAGCCUUCGGGCUUAGUGGCGCACGGGUGCGUAACGCGUGGGAAUCUGCCCUUGGGUUCGGAAUAACAGUUAGAAAUGACUGCUAAUACCGGAUGAUGUCUUCGGACCAAAGAUUUAUCGCCCAAGGAUGAGCCCGCGUAGGAUUAGGUAGUUGGUGGGGUAAUGGCCCACCAAGCCGACGAUCCUUAGCUGGUCUGAGAGGAUGAUCAGCCACACUGGGACUGAGACACGGCCCAGACUCCUACGGGAGGCAGCAGUGGGAAUACUGGACAAUGGGCGAAAGCCUGAUCCAGCAAUGCCGCGUGAGUGAUGAAGGCCUUA